AGAAAGGAAACUUCCCCACUAAGGCAGCCGUCAUCUCCUCCCCUGCAUCCCAAAUCCAGUAGUCCACCCAACCGUCUCCUCCCACCACAAAUCCUUCGACUUCGCCGCCCUUACGACACCAGAGAGAACCCCGUUGCCUCCGUCGAUCUGCCAGACAUGUCCAAGGAGAGGGAGAGGAGGCCAGGAGGGGUCGCGUUUGGACGCGAGGAGGGGGAGCAGCCAACCGCGCCCGGCCGGCGAGUACGGCGCCGCUGCAUCAUGCCUGCAUGGCCCGAUGGCGCCCGUCGUCGUCCAGGAGCAACACAAACAGCUGGUGAUGGAUCUCUCAUCAACGGCCGCCGACCACCUCUCAAAGAUAAGUUUCUCGUCUACGUUGUCGUCACCUCGGUGGUUGAUUCAUGGGAAACGUUGCCAAGCGCUGGUGAGGACAAGUUGUGAGUUGCGAUGAUGGUUGUCACUAAGAGACUCGAGAGUCAAUUACAACAUCAAGUUUAGAGAGUAAAAAGAAGUAAGCAGCAAGGGAAGUGGGCGUCUCUAAAGAAUUCUAGAUGGCGGUGAGAUUAUUUGGGUCAAUAAUGUGGAAUUUCUAUGUGUACGCUGCACCUGCACUAACUUGCUUCCAUUAACACACCCUUUUGCUGCUUGUGGGAGGGAAGUAAUUACAACAGCAACUUGUGACUGUAUCUAAUCUCGCAGUCGAUUAUUUGCUGAUGUCUCCGCCCUAUGGUUUCCAGGUUUCUUCUCACCCAGCAGCUUCCACAAAGUAGAGUAUAUCGCAACUUCGGAAACUUACUGAAGAUGAUAGCUCUGAUGUUAAUAUCCAGGAUGAUGCAAUAAGCUCUUUUGACAAUUUAUCAGAAGAAAGAGCCGAAGAAAAUGGAGGAUUCUAAAAUGACUCAAAUAGAACUACAAAAUAUCUAUGCCACAAAGGUAGGUAUGUUCAAGGAAAUAAUACGAUGCAUUAUAUUUUGCCUAUAUGCCUAAGUAUACUGACAUGACGGUAAGCGAUAUGAUAUUGUUGAACAGUGAACGCCAAUCCAAAAAAAACUUCAGAACAAUCUGUAUGCAUUAGUUGAGCUGGUAUCUAGCUUUGCUAUUUUUAUGCAAGGUGCUGAAGUUCAAUAACAUUCAUGAUAAUCCCCAGCUUCAGUAUCCAGCAAAAGAGAAGUUACAUUACAAAUUCACAACUCAGCUGCGCAGCUGCAAGUCGAUAUAUGAUAUCAAUAUUUUCAGUUCCUCUUAUAUGCUAAUUUAGUUCCUUUUGAUCUAGAAAAGAUUUUGGUGUUUUUGUUCUAGAAAGACUGAACAGACGGAGGAGCCACUCUAAUCAUAAAUAUUUUUGGAUUAUGAUUAGGGCUAGGGGAAGGUCAUACCAACAACACAUCUUUAUUCCCUUGAUGUCCCAUAAUAGGAAAUAAAACUCUUGUUUACACUUGAUAUUUGGUUAAGCUUAAAUACAAUCUAAUCUCCCAUGUGUUGGGACUUGGAGCUGCGACUAUAUUUUUUAUGAAUUUAAGGACCAGUUGACGAAGAUAGUCCAAAUCCAGUUGGAUAAUCACUUCAUGUUUGGACUCUUGAGUGAAUUUGUUUUAGAAGGUUAGGAGCAGAGGGAUACAGUUCUAAGAUUAAAUUGACCAUUUUUUCUACGAGUGUACUAUUUAUACGCUCAUACCACAGAGUAAUUGCUAUUUAUUUCCUUAACUUAUUACCACAUGCCUCCUAACCAGUCAACGAUCAGAUAUUUAGCUCCAUUGCUAAUAGUAAGAAAUGUGUUGUCCAACAAUAUGAAGAGGUUCCCUUUCCAGCUUAUCUAAUGGUACCGACAUCCGCCGUAAGUGAAUUUGAUUGCUCUACUAAGUCCCGUCUAUUAGAUUUCUUGUUUAUUUUUACAUGGUUUAGUUACUUUCAGAAGCACAAAUACUCAGACUAUUUGAUUUCUUUGUGGCUGAGUUGGAAAGUUUUGUUGAAACUGAAGGAGACGAUUUCCACUUGCCCGCAGGCAGACAUAGGGAUCUAGGUUUCACCUUUUCUUUCCAAGUACACCGAACCUUGAUAUCGCCUAUGUUCCUCCACCAUUAGGUUUUGUUGUAAAGAAAAUUUUAACUCCCACGCUUGCUGGGAAAAACAUAGAAAUCAAAAAGUUCCUCGACACCGGAUGUUCAUAUACAUGAGUCAAAACAAGUAACAAACAAGUCAGUCCAAUGUAAAAAUCCAACGUAGCACCAAACAAGUCGUCUAAUGUACAGAUCAAACAUGGUAACACAUAUGAUCGCUACCCUAGUGGAGCGGGCCAAGCUGGAUGGUCAAAUUAGCGGGGUCAUUCCACACUUGGUAGAAAAUGGUCCAUCCAUUCUACAAUAUGCGGAUGACACGAUUCUAUUUAUGGAUCAUGAUCUAGAUAAAGCAAGAAAUCUCAAGCUGCUCUUAUGUGCCUUUGAGGAACUUUCUGGUCUCAAAAUUAAUUUUCAUAAGUGAACUUUUUUGCUUUGGAGAUGCUGCGGAAUCUGCACCCGAGUAUGCUGAGAUUUUUGGAUGCCAGCUCGGGUGGUUUCCGAUUAGGUAUCUGGUCCCCAUACACUAUCGGCGUUUAACUAUCGCUGAGUGGAAGCAUGUGCAAGAAAGACUUGAGAAACGUUUAGCCAGUUGGAAGGCCAAACUCUUGUCUUAUGGGGGCGGUUGAUCUUGAUCAAUUCCGUCCUAAGCAACAUGAUUUUAUACAUGUUGUCAUUCUUCCACCUGUCGAAAGGGGUUCUACAGCGUCUAGAUUACUUUAGAUCCAGAUUUUUUUGGCAGUGUGAUAACGAAACCAAGAAAUAUAGACUGGCUAGAUGGAGCAUAUUAUGCAGACCUAAAAACCAAGGGGGCCUGGGAAUCCAAGACCUUGAGAUUAAAAAUAUCGCUCUUCUCAGCAAGUGGGUCUAUAAACUACUCACCGAGAAUGGAGUAUGGCAAGAAAUCAUUCGCAACAAGUAUGUGGGAUCCAAUGCCAUUUCUCAAAUUCAUUGGAAACCUGGUGAUUCACAUUUUUGGAGUGGUGUCAUGAAGGCCAAGGAAUUCUUCUUCCAAUUUGGGACCUUCUUGGUUAGGGACGGUGGUCAGGUUCGUUUCUGGGAAGAUACCUGGUUAGGGAACACUCCACUAAUGGUGCAAUAUCCGAGCUUGUACCGGAUCGUCAGACAUAUUUUUUUCAUGAUCUAACAAGUCUUAGGACAGGAAAACCCCGAUAUUUCUUUCCGUAGGGAUCUUUUGGGCACUCAUCUGACAGCAUGGAAUGAAUUACUCACUCGCCUGGAGGACAUUCAACUGUCAGAUGAACCGGACACUUUUUGAUGGGACUUGCAUCAGAAUGGCAAAUUUUCGAUCAAAUCCAUGUAUGAUGCAAUGGUUCAUUCUGAUGUUCCAGUAGAUAACAGGACAUUGUGGAAGCUAAAAUUCCCCUAAGAGUGAAGAGUUUCCUCUGGUUUCUUAACAAAGGAGUCAUCCUAACUAGAGAUAAUCUGGCACGACGAAACUGGCAUGAUUCCAAGACAUGUGUCUUUUGCCAACAUGACGAGUCUAUCAAACACCUAUUUUUUGAGUGCAAGUUCGCUCGAGCAGUUUGGGCUAUGGUCCAAGUAGCUUCGAAUUUAUACCCACCACGUAGUGUACAGAAUAUGUUCGGCAACUAGUUGCGAGGUAUAGAUAAACAAUUUUCUGCACAUAUUCUUGUGGGAGCGGCGGCCUUAUACUGGGCAAUGUGGCUUACCAGGAAUGAUGUGGUUUUUAACAAUAAA